AUUGAACGCUGGCGGCAGGCUUAACACAUGCAAGUCGAGCGAGCGGCGGACGGGUGAGUAAUGUCUGGGAAACUGCCCGAUGGAGGGGGAUAACUACUGGAAACGGUAGCUAAUACCGCAUACCAUCAGAUGUGCCCAGAUGGGAUUAGCUGGUAGGUGGGGUAACGGCUCACCUAGGCGACGAUCCCUAGCUGGUCUGAGAGGAUGACGAGCCACACUGGAACUGAGACACGGUCCAGACUACUACGGGAGGCAGCAGUGGGGAAUAUUGGACAAUGGGCGCAAGCCUGAUACAGCCAUGCCGCGUGUGUGAAGAAGGCCUUCGGGUUGUAAAGCACAUUCAGCGGGGAGGCGUUACCCGCAGAAGAAGCACCGGCUAACUCCGUGCCAGCCGCCGCGGUAAUAC
rnacentral:rRNA from 1 species